GACGAACGCUGGCGGCGUGCUUAACACAUGCAAGUCGAACGGAAAGGCCCUGCUUUUGUGGGGUGCUCGAGUGGCGAACGGGUGAGUAACACGUGAGUAACCUGCCCUUGACUUUGGGAUAGCUUCAGGAAACUGGGGCUACUACCGGAUAGGAGCUCCUGCUGCAUGGUGGGGGUUGGAAAGUUUCGGCGGUUGGGGAUGGACUCGCGGCUUAUCAGCUUGUUGGUGGGGUAGUGGCUUACCAAGGCUUUGACGGGUAGCCGGCCUGGGAGGGUGACCGGCGACAUUGGGACUGAGAUACGGCCCAGACUCCUACGGGAGGCAGCAGUGGGGAAUAUUGCACAAUGGGCGGAAGCCUGAUGCAGCAACGCCGCGGGCGGGAUGACGGCCUUCGGGGUGUAAACCGCUUUCGCCUGUGACGAAGCGUGAGUGACGGUAAUGGGUAAAGAAGCACCGGCUAACUACGUG
rnacentral:rRNA from 1 species